CAGCCGCCGCGGUAAUACGAAGGGGGCUAGCGUUGUUCGGAAUUACUGGGCGUAAAGCGCACGUAGGCGGAUAUUUAAGUCAGGGGUGAAAUCCCGCAGCUCAACUGCGGAACUGCCUUUGAUACUGGGUAUCUUGAGUAUGGAAGAGGUUAGUGGAAUUGCGAGUGUAGAGGUGAAAUUCGUAGAUAUUCGCAGGAACACCAGUGGCGAAGGCGGCUAACUGGUCCAUAACUGACGCUGAGGUGCGAAAGCGUGGGGAGCAAACAGGAUUAGAUACCCGUGUAGUCCCUGUCUCUUAUAC
rnacentral:rRNA from 1 species